CAGCCAUAUAACAUGGAAAAACCAGUUCCCAUAUGAUCACCAAAGUUAAGCAACAUCAAGCCUGGUCAGUGCCUAGAUCAGUGACUGCUUGGGAAUACCAGGUGCUGUAAG